CGCACCUUGCACUCUUUGGUAUUCCGAAGAGUAUGUCUGUUUGAGUGUCAUGAAACUCUCAACCCCCUCAUUUUGUAAUGAUUUGAGUGCGGGCUUGGAUUAUGGCUGCCUGCAGGCCCUUUAACUAAGGCCAGCUCAGCUGAAAUACAUAAGCAACCCAGUUUGAAAACAGAGCGGCUUGACUCGGCGUAAUAAUUAUUUCGCUGAGGACGCUCACCUUUCAAUCCUUAGAGUGGUAGCUUCUAAUGCUAUUCUAGUAAUCAUCUUAAGCUUUAGACCUCAAAUCAGGCAGGACUACCCGCUGAACUUAA
rnacentral:misc_RNA from 1 species